rnacentral:rRNA from 1 species
UACAGAGGGCGCGAGCGUUGUCCGGAAUCACUGGGCGUAAAGGGCGCGUAGGUGGCCACUAUAAGGCCGCGGUGAAAGUUCGGGGCUCAACCCUGAAUCUGCCGCGGCGACUGUAGGGCUAGGGCACCGUAGAGGCAGAUGGAAUUCCGGGUGUAGCGGUGGAAUGCGUAGAGAUCCGGAAGAACACCGGGUGGCGAAGGCGGUCUGCUGGGGCGGUGAACCCGUAAGGGUUCAAUAGGCCGACACUGAGGCGCGACGAGCGUGGGGAGCAAACAGG